UGAAUUGACGGGACCCGCACAAGCGGUGGAUGAUGUGGUUUAAUUCGAUGCAACGCGAAAACCUUACCCACCUUUGACAUGGCAGGAAUCCCGAAGAGAUUUGGGAGUGCUCGAAAGAGAACCUGCACACAGGUGCUGCAUGGCUGUCGUCAGCUCGUGUCGUGAGAUGUUGGGUUAAGUCCCGCAACGAGCGCAACCCUUGCCAUUAGUUGCUACGAAAGGGCACUCUAAUGGGACUGCCGGUGACAAACCGGAGGAAGGUGGGGAUGACGUCAAGUCCUCAUGGCCCUUAUAGGUGGGGCUACACACGUCAUACAAUGGCCGGUACAGAGGGUAGCCAACCCGCGAGGGGGAGCCAAUCCCACAAAGCCGGUCGUAGUCCGGAUCGCAGUCUGCAACUCGACUACGUGAAGUCGGAAUCGCUAGUAAUCGUGGAUCAGAAUGUCACGGUGAAUACGUUCCCGGGUCUU
rnacentral:rRNA from 1 species